GAUCCCAAGUAGGCUCCGCACUGCCGGCACGGGGCUGGAACUCAUGAACCAUUUUCUGUCUGUGACCCUCUAUUCUGUGGUUGUGUGAACUCAUCCUUCUGCACGCUGCACUGGAGUACUCUCCUCUGGUCUCCUAGAAACUCCUCAGUCCCUUUGGAAGGCAUGGAGGAUGGAAAGCAGGCAUCAUCCUGAGCAUAGGGAAAUACAGCACUGAAGAAACACGGUUCUAUGAUUUGCAAUUGAUCACAAGUUAUUAGGGAAGAUAGACAAGAAAACUAACAAGUUUGAAACAGCCACUCCACUGACAGCAAAAGAAGAAACAGAUUUAAUUUGAAUUUUGUAUAAUUCAAGACUGAUGACCCAACAGAAUAUUCAGGGCAUGCCUUCCUUUCAACAUCAAUAUCGUACAAGAAUAUUUACCGAAGCACACACAUAACGGCAAAAACAAAGCAAAUCACAACAAAGCCCUACAAAGUUGGAAACAAAAUUAGCGCCCAUCAAUCAAUAAUGGCUGAAUCUACUUUGGUGUAUCACCACUGCUGAAUACAAGACAAAUAAGAAAGCAUACCGUAACAAAUAGAACCAAGAAGCAGAUAUUGGCAGGUUAAAGGCCAGGGAAGAAAAGGAAAAGCAUGGUUACUAUCCUCUGGUGCUUAUACUUGGUUUCUACAACGACAAAGAAUUAUUGCCCACGAUACAGCAAAGGCCACAAUGCGGCAAGAAUUCAGACAAGUCAAACUAUCAGGACCAGUUCAUAUCUCUCCUGGUUGAAUAUUUUCUCCAAAACGGGUGGACUACUGGCUGAACUCAUUGGGGCAUGCAAGGAGAAGUCAAGAAGUGAGGGGUCUGAAUUCUCCAACUGCAAACUGAACUAGAAAUAACACAUAUUUUCAACAAUAUAUUCAACAUUUAUAUACAAUAUACAAUUUCUUGAUUUGUCAUUUGCUAACCAGGCAAAGAAAAAGAAUAUCUGACAAUGGAAAUAACUCAAAGGCUAGAGUUGAUGAUAGAACUGACCGUCAUCUUCCAGUGUCACCUUUGAGGACUCUCUUGUCUCUAUAAAUGAGGAUAUUGUUUAUCCGACUUAGCUCACAGAAAUCAUGAAAGUUACCUCUGACAUCAGAUAUGAAAAGUCUUUAGAAAAAUAAGUGUUACCAUAUUUUUUGAAAGGUAUGUUCUAGUUGGCAAAGCAUUUUCAGAUGCGUUAUUUCAUUAGGGUUCUGUGAAAUACGCCAUGAGUUAAGGAGAAGUAAAAUAGAGGCACCUGGUUUAUGUGGCAUCACAGAGAUAAAAAUGCUGUAUCUGAAUGAUUCAAUGAAUCUCAUUUAUUCACGUUAUGUACAGGUGAAGUCUUGAACACAUGUUGAGAGUCUAAAAACCAAACACCCCCAACUAUGUACUAAUCAGACACUGUUGGCCCCAUUGUGCUGCUAGAGAAACUGAGACUUCACAAGGUGAAGUCGUUUUCAUGUAUAUCAAGUGAGCAAGUGGUAAAAGCAGCAGGUGAACCUCGUCCUGCUUAAAAGUUCCCCAUAUUUCCACUCUAUCUUGAUUUAUGAUUUAAUUUCUCCUUGCAGUAAUAGAAUUUAGCUUAGGUGCACCG